GAUUCCGAUCCAAAUUGUGGCGUUUAUCGCCGCGUUCCCGCAAGGGAUAGGGUCGGGAUUUUUU
rnacentral:sRNA from 1 species